rnacentral:rRNA from 1 species
UACAGAGGUGGCAAGCGUUGUUCGGAAUUACUGGGCGUAAAGGGCGCGUAGGUGGCCUUUUGAGUCAGACGUGAAAUCCCACGGCUCAACCGUGGAACGGCUGGGUAUACUGGCGGUCUUGGGCCACCUAGGGGUCAUCGGAACAGGCGGUGGAGCGGUGAAAUGCGUAGAUAUCGCCUGGAACGCCGACGGUGAAAACAGAUGACUGGGGGUGUGCCGACGCUGAGACACGAAAGCCAGGGGAGCGAACGGG